rnacentral:rRNA from 1 species
UAGGGAAUAUUGGUCAAUGGGUGAGAGCCUGAACCAGCCAUGCCGCGUGUAGGAAGAAGGCCUUCUGGGUUGUAAACUGCUUUUGCCGGGGGAUAAAAUUCCCAUGCGUGGGAAAUUGAAGGUACCCGGUGAAUAAGCCACGGCUAACUACGUGCCAGCAGCCGCGGUAAUACGUAGGUGGCAAGCGUUGUCCGGACUUAUUGGGUUUAAAGGGUGCGUAGGCGGCCUAUUAAGUCAGUUCUGAAAUAUCCCGGCUUAACCGGGAGGGUGGGAUUGAUACUGAUGGGCUUGAGUGGAAUCGAGGUAGGCGGAAUUGACGGUGUAGCGGUGAAAUGCUUAGAUAUCGUCAAGAACACCGAUAGUGUAGACAGCUUACUAGACUUCAACUGACGCUGAGGCACGAAAGUGUGGGGAUCAAACAGGAUUAGAUACCCUGGUAGUCCACACUGUAAACGUUGAUUACUCGCUGUGUGCGAUAUACAGUACGCGGCUUAGCGAAAGCGAUAAG